UUAAAAAAAAAAAAAAAGAACUACUGAUUUAAUCCAAUCCCCUUACUUUCCUAGGGAGAAAACCAAAAUCCAGAGCAUAAGCAACUUGCCCAGAGAGACACUGAGCAUGUUAGUGCGUGGUGCACCAAGAGAAACGAUGGCAAUAGCAAGAAUAUGAUGGUGAUAUUUAUAAUUUUUUUCUUGUUGGAGUUAAUCCCGGAAGCAUUUCUCUUUAGUUCAGAGAGGUGUUAUAUGAUUUACCUUUUCCCGUGACAGCAGCACUUACUCUUCUGGUAAGACUGAAAGGGUUCGCAUUCCCUGACCACAAAAGGACAGAGAUGGGAUUAUACAUUCACCACACAUAGCCAGCCAAAUUAGCAAAGCUCCCUAAGAGGCCGCUUGAAAUGCCGAAAAUGCUUCUUCUCUACAGUGAUCACCAGAGCUGAGGGAUCUUGGCAGGGUGGUGAGAAGCGAAGGGGCUGGAAAAGAGAGGAAAGCAUUCCCUCCCAGAGGGAGGGUGCUGAGAAUCAGCGGAGAAGCGACCAGAGCUGCCAGGACGGAAAGGCGAGGAAAGGAAAAGAAUUCCAAUGAGUCCAGGGAGCCUCUGCUCCCCCAGUAAAGGAACAAUGAUGCACAGCCCGGCAGUACCGACCCUCCCCGGGAGCCCUGACAUCCAAAGGAGACGAUCAAAACGGGCUCCGCGAUAUGCGCACUAAAGAAAACUUCUUCCAACACUCACAAAAAAGGGAGCCCCCGCAAAAAAACCAGAGCGCAUUUGCCCCCAAACCUCUACUAGUCCCUCGGUUCAAAGCCAAGAUCUUCUAUACCCUCCACCCCCGCUCUCAAAAGGGGGCGGUCCCGGCCUCACGUGACAUUGCGGUCACGUGACCCGGGCCCCGCGGGAGCCGAGGUGCGGGUUCCAGUUCCUGGAGUCGGAGGGGGCCUGGUGUGCCCAGCCCCCAGCCCGCCGCCACCAUGCUGUCCCGCCUGCUGAAGGAACACCAGGCCAAGCAGAACGAACGCAAGGAGCUGCAGGAGAAGAGGAGGCGAGAAGCUAUCACUGCAGCGACCUGCCUGACAGAAGCUUUGGUGGAUCACCUCAAUGUGGGGCCUGGGGAGCAGCUGACGGGAGAGAGAUGGCACAGCUGGUGAGGGUGAGGGCAGAACCUACGCCAGGAGCUAUAGCAGAGCCAGGCCGUCUCGUCCCUUCCUUCCGGGUCUCCGGAGCCCACCUCCUGCCACAGUCCUAUAGGAGAAUGUCAGUAACAACCAAAGACUUGGGAAGGAGCAAAGAAUAUUGUCUUUUGACCCUGAGUGACCCAGAAGAGUACUGAGAUGAUGAUUGGAAGAAAGGGGGAAGUAUGAUGCCUUCCACCCCAGGACAAGUAGAAUAGCUUGGUUGUGAAUCCAGAGACUGAGUCACCCAAGUGAGCCAUACAGGGACUGUCAUCUUCAUUACUCAUCUCUGGGGAAGAUGAGGGGACAAGGAGGCUGUGGUUGGGGCCUCUGAUCUCCCUCCCCUCCAGACUUCUCCCUUCACUCAGUGUGAGAGUGGGAGGUCAACAGGAAAAACUAGGAUUUUAGGAACUGCCAGGGGACUCUCUUAAAGCAUUGGGAGCCCCCCUGCUAUUACUGUUUCAGCUCCUACACUAACCCCCCCACUAUGGCCAAGCUGUGUCCCAAAGAGAAAGGACAAGGUCUGCCCCCUUUCCUCCCUCCCACAUUGGCGCCUCUUGGGCUCUGCUGUGAGACU
rnacentral:lncRNA from 1 species